UACGGAGGGUGCAAGCGUUAGUCGGAAUUACUGGGCGUAAAGGGUGUGUAGGCGGAAGUCCAAGUGGUGUAUGAAAGCUCCCGGCUUAACCGGGAAGGGUUAUGCCAGACUGGACAUCUAGAGUGUGGGAGAGGGACGUGGAAUUCCGGGUGUAGUGGUAAAAUGCGUAGAGAUCCGGAGGAACACCAGAGGCGAAGGCGGCGUCCUGGCCCACAACUGACGCUCAUCCGCGACAGCAUGGGGAGCGAACGGG
rnacentral:rRNA from 1 species